ACUGUCGCGAAGCUCCCGCCCAAGCCGACCACGUGCCGCGAGCCCGGCGGGGAGAGCCCACUCCCGCGCCCCUUCCGGGCCCACUACCCCGCCGGGCUGUGGCCCAUCGCCCCAGUGCCUGAUUGGCAUCCUCUGCUUCUGCAGAAAACAUGGCUACCAACAGCUUCUGUAUCCACCUGCGGAGGAGACUGACUGCUCUGUUAUUCCCCCAGCAUCUGUGAAGAGGCUCUGACUGGCUAAAGUGUUGGUAUAGUGAUCACCCCAGGGUUAGGCAACCAUGGCUGGUGAAAAGGAAAAACGUUAUGAACCUGGCUGUGCGGAGCUACCUGAGGAAGCUUGUAGGAGAAGGGUCAGUUUGCAGAGAAAGGGGGGCCUGGGCAGAUGACGCAAGAGGUGCCCAUUACAUCCCUCUAGAGGAAGGAGUCUGUAGCUUUAGGGGAAGACAGAGCCACAAGAUGGAAGGAGCUUGGAUGUCUGAACUAUUCCAUGGAGAAAAGCUGCAGCCAACGAAGAACACCUGCAAUGGACUCUUAACCUGGGGGUGACGACAACCACUGAAAUAUGCUGCAUCUUAGUCCAGGGAUUUUUAAAGUGUGGUUCCUGGAAGAGCUGGAUCAGAGUCAUCUGUGUUGAUGGUUUAACAUAAAGAUUUUCGAGCCCCAAGACUCAAGUAGGACAAGGAAUUUGAAUUUUUAAGCAGCUCACCUGACUUGUCUGUCCUCUAAUGUCUGAAGACAUCUGACCUCUGCUCUUUCAGUAAAAGCAACAAUGGUUUUAUGAGCAUUGUCGUCACAUCUCUCCACUCAAGGGAUCCUUCUCAUUUCUCCCAGC
rnacentral:lncRNA from 10 species